GGAGGCCCCGACUGUUUACCUAAAACACAGCUUUUUGCUACGAAUAAUAUUCUGUGUAUAGAAAGCGAAUUUUGCCCAAUGCCAUUAAUAUAAAGUUGGUAAGCGCAUAGCGUAUUUACUAACUGAAGUUCUGGUCAAUGGCGGUCUUAUCUAUGAGGAUCCUAAGGUAGCAAAAUUAAUUGUCCAUUAAAUGUGGUCCUGACUGAAUAAAGUAACGAUGGUCUCACUGUCUCUACAAGUAUCUCAGUGAAAUUGAAUUAGC
rnacentral:rRNA from 1 species